GUACUACUCCCUCCGUCCCAAAAUUCUUGUCUUAAAUUUGUCUAAAUACGGAUGUAUCAAGUCAUGUUUUAGUAUUAGAUACAUCCGUAUCAAGACAAAUCUAAGACAAGAAUUUUGGGACGGAGGGAGUACAAG
rnacentral:pre_miRNA from 1 species